rnacentral:rRNA from 1 species
CUGCUCAGAACGAACGCUGGCGGCAUGCCUAACACAUGCAAGUCGAACGAAGGCUUCGGCCUUAGUGGCGCACGGGUGCGUAACGCGUGGGAAUCUGCCCUUGGGUUCGGAAUAACUCGCCGAAAGGCGUGCUAAUACCGGAUGAUGUCGAAAGACCAAAGAUUUAUCGCCUGAGGAUGAGCCCGCGUCGGAUUAGCUAGUUGGUGGGGUAAAGGCCUACCAAGGCGACGAUCCGUAGCUGGUCUGAGAGGAUGAUCAGCCACACUGGGACUGAGACACGGCCCAGACUCCUACGGGAGGCAGCAGUGGGGAAUAUUGGACAAUGGGCGAAAGCCUGAUCCAGCAAUGCCGCGUGAGUGAUGAAGGCCCUAGGGUUGUAAAGCUCUUUUACCCGGGAUGAUAAUGACAGUACCGGGAGAAUAAGCCCCGGCUAACUCCGUGCCAGCAGCCGCGGUAAUACGGAGGGGGCUAGCGUUGUUCGGAAUUACUGGGCGUAAAGCGCGCGUAGGCGGCUUUGUAAGUCAGAGGUGAAAGCCCGGAGCUCAACUUCGGAAUUGCCUUUGAGACUGCAUCGCUUGAAUCCGGGAGAGGUGAGUGGAAUUCCGAGUGUAGAGGUGAAAUUCGUAGAUAUUCGGAAGAACACCAGUGGCGAAGGCGGCUCACUGGACCGGUAUGACGCUAGUCUU